GUUGAGAUGGCUUAGUGGUUAAGAGCACUGGUUAUUUCUCCAGAGGACCUGGGUUCAAUUCCCAACAUCCACA
rnacentral:tRNA from 1 species